rnacentral:rRNA from 1 species
GGAUUAAUAUGUUGGUCGUGCCUUGGUACGUACUGGCAUUAUUGGUUCCUACCUUCUGAAGAACCUCGAUGUCAUUAAUUUGGUGUCUUGGGGAAUCAGGACUGUUACUUUGAAAAAUUUUAGAGUGUUUAAAGCAGGCUCACGCUUGAAUACAUUAGCAUGGAAUAAUGAAAUAGGACGUUUGAUUCUAUUUUGUUGGUUUUUAGGAUCGACGUAAUGAUU